CUAGUAACGGCGAGUGAAGAGGGAAGAGCCCAAGAUUGAAAGCUGGCGUCUUCGGCGUCCGCAUUGUAAUCUCAAGAAGUGUUUUCCGCUUCGGACCAUGCCUAAGUCCCUUGGAAAAGGGCAUCAUAGAGGGUGAUAAUCCCGUACAUGGCAUGGAGCGCCCGAAGCUUUGUGAUACGCUUUCUACGAGUCGAGUUGUUUGGGAAUGCAGCUCAAAAUGGGUGGUAAAUGCCAUCUAAGGCUAAAUAUUGGGGAGAGACCGAUAGCGAACAAGUACAGUGAUGGAAAGAUGAAAAGAACUUUGAAAAGAGAGUUAAACAGUACGUGAAAUUGCCAAAAGGGAAGGGUAGGAGGUCAGAGAUGCGUCUUGGGAUUCAGCCUUGCUUUUUCGCUUGGUGUUUUUCCCAAGUUGCAGGCCAACGUCGGUUUUGGGCACUGGAGAAGGGUGGGAGGAACGUGGCACCUCUCGGGGUGUGUUAU
rnacentral:rRNA from 1 species